GUGAGGAAUUUUCCGCAAUGGGCGAAAGCCUGACGGAGCAAUGCCGCGUGAAGGAUGAAGGCCUAUGGGUUGUAAACUUCUUUUCUCAGAAAAGAAUUAUGACGGUAUCUGAGGAAUAAGCAUCGGCUAACUCUGUGCCAGCAGCCGCGGUAAGACAGAGGAUGCAAGCGUUAUCCGGAAUGAUUGGGCGUAAAGCGUCUGUAGGUUGUUUAAAAAGUAUUCUGUCAAAGAUUAGGGCUUAACCCUAGAUAGGCAGAAUAAACUUUUAAGCUAGAGUUUGGUAGAGGCAGAGGGAAUGCCCGGUGGAGCGGUGAAAUGCGUAGAUAUCGGGAGGAACACCAAAGGCGAAGGCACUCUGCUGGGCCAAUACUAACACUGAGAGACGAAAGCGAGGGGAGCAAAUGGGAUUAGAUACCCGUGUAGUCC
rnacentral:rRNA from 1 species